AACGGGGGAGGUAGUGACAAUAAAUAACAAUGCUGGGUCUAUGACUUAGUAAUUGGAAUGAGAACAAUUUAAACCCCUUAUCGAGUAACCAUCAGAGGGCAAGUCUGGUGCCAGCAGCCGCGGUAAUUCCAGCUCUGAUAGCGUAUAUUAAAGUUGUUGCAGUUAAAAAGCUCGUAGUUGGAUAUUAGAAUUUUCUUGUAUGGUCGGUUGUGAUAAACAAUCUUGUACUGUAUAAGUGAUUCUUUCCUACUGGUUACUCGACUCUGUCCUUUACUGGAUGGAGUAGUGUCGCAAGGCAUCGCUUGAUGUUAUAUUGCCUGUAAGUGUAGUUAUUGGGUAAAACUGGUAGUGAAACUUAUAGGAUCACAGUAUGAUAUUAAGUGGGGUUCCAGUUCAUUUACUUUGAGUAAAUUAGAGUGUUCAAAAGCAGCCUCUUGGGGCAUUGAAUAGAUUAGCAUGGGAUAAUAGAAUAGGACUCUUGUCUUUUUUAUUGGUUUAAAGAUUUAGAGUAAUGAUUAAUAGGGAUAGUUGGGGGG
rnacentral:rRNA from 1 species